rnacentral:lncRNA from 1 species
AAAAUACUUAAUCAUGCAGUAAACAACCUCUACAUACAUGGAUUAAAUUUUCUCAAAAUAAACAACCAAAGCCGGAUAUAUCAAUCUCAAUUUAAUCACGAGUUUAUAUGGUUUUACCUCGGUUAAUUUCGACUAAAUUAUGGUCACAGAAUCGUAUGAAAUAAGACAGGAGAUGAAUUCCUUGACCAUAUUUAACACAGUAUCUUUCAUGAUCACCAAAAACAAAAAAAAUAAACAAAAAAAUAAAUACAGCAUUAGAUCGAGAAGCAUGGCAUCAAUGAGAAAUUACAAAUCGUAGACCUGCUUGCCGGUGAACUUGACCUCGAUGGGGCUGGCGUUCUUCCCGAUGGACCGGAGGUUCAGGCCAACGCCGGUGCGCCCGGCGUUGACCUUCUCCGGGUAUACCCCAUCCUUGGGGUGCAGAUACUGCACCUCGCCGUUGGGGAAUACCCGGUAGAACUGGUACUUGAUCUUGUACUUGGACCGGAGGCGGGUGCCGAGGGCGAGGCACUGCUCCUUCCGGGCCAGCUUCAGCAGGUUCGGGCCCUGCCGCAUGAUGGCGGCGCCGCCCGUCGGCAUCUCGAACACCUGCUCCUUGGGGGAGUCCCACGUGAUCACGUAGAACUCCUCCACCUGCGCCUUGCGCAGGAGCCCGCCCGUGCUGCCCCCGAAGAUCGGGGACGGCGUGUUCGGGUCCAGCUCCGGCGGGGUGAACCCCGCCGGGGCUGCGGGCGCCUCCUUGGUCGGGGCCUCCUCCGCCAUCGCGCGGAUGGGGCCCCGAGCUAGGGUUUUGGAGGGCUUGAGGGAUGGGAAGUGGGCGAGGGACUGCUUCCACGGGGCCGCCACGGCGGAUUUCGGGACGGCGGCGGCGGAGAAGAGGGAGGCUUGCGUUGCCAUUGCCAUGGAUUCUCUUUUGGGUGGUGGAAAUGGAAUUGGAAUUGGAGGGUGGAAUAAUAUUUGAUGAGAAAUAAUGUUUGGGAGAUUUGGAUAUUGGGAUAAGGUGAUAUGGGUGAGACCAAUUAGAUUGUGUGAUUUUGAUACCAAGCCUUACCCUUACCCCUUGCUUUGUGGUGCCAUCUGUAUUUAUUUGGAUUUCCUAUUUUAUUUUUAUUUUUUUUGUAAUAUCUCACACUUCAUAUUUGGUCUUGUUUGACCUUCUUGUAACUAAUAAGUUCGAUAUGCCAUUUCGAAAAUACCUCCACUUAAUUCUUCAUAUAAUUAACCAUAAUACAUUACAUCUCCUUCUAUUAUUAUUGUUAAUAAAUGAUAUUUUAGAAAAUUAUGAUAUCUUAUGUGCAUGAAUAAUAUAAAAAUAAGUAAUGAGUAAUAUAAUACGAUUAGUAAUAGAAGAUCUAAUGUACUAUUACUUUAAAAACAUAGUCAUCUGAUGAGGGUGAAAUUUAGCGUAACAAGAAUUAUAUUAGAUGUUGAGUUGGCUCCGACUCUCUAUGCGAUGAUUUCUGGGAAGCUUUUGUUCAUGCUAAAAAUAAUGUGGUUUUGGAGUUUUUUCAUGCUCGUUGGGAGGUUAGUAGGGC